UAGGGAAUAUUGCGCAAUGGGGGAAACCCUGACGCAGCGACGCCGCGUGAGCGAUGAAGGUUUUCGGAUCGUAAAGCUCUGUCGUAUGGGAAUAAACAAAUGAAUGUACCAUGCAAGAAAGGAUCGGCUAACUUCGUGCCAGCAGCCGCGGUAAGACGAGGGAUCCUAGCGUUGUUCGGAAUCAUUGGGCGUAAAGAGGGCGUAGGUGGCUUUUUAAGUCAGUUGUGAAAGCCUGGGGCUCAACCCCAGA
rnacentral:rRNA from 1 species